rnacentral:lncRNA from 1 species
CGCUCAUAAAGAAAAACCACAUGAAAGAAGUCCUCUCCUGCACAGGUCCUGGAUAAGGAUCUGGAAUUCAGCAGGGAAGGACGAUCUAAACAAAAAUGGAGCAGAUGUGGCCUCCAAGGGCCUGCAUUGGAGCCUCAAGCUGCUUGCUGGUGUGGGACCUACACGUCUGGAUACUCACAGACUCAGUUCCUUCUGUGUGAGACAGGGGAGGUGAGUGUGCCCACUUCACAGUGUUAUGGAGGGUGGAAUGAGACCAUCUACAUGAAAUGCUCCCUCAAGGGAAGGUGUUGGGUGAUGGGUCAAGUCCUCAUUCAGCAUCACUGGUGGGACCAGCCUCAAGAGGAGCCAGAAAGAACUCAGGACCCAAGGUUCUUGCAACCUGGAUGGCUUCAAGGUAGUCUUGGCCAUUGCUUUUGUGUUUGAUUGAGGUCCUGAGAAUAGGUUUUUAGGGAUGGGAGAGGAAAGAGGCAGGAGAAGGGUCUCCCCUAGCCUUCCCACUGCCCCAGACUCAGGGUGCAUCUUUUUUGUCCUCAAACUGAUAUGCUCCAGCUGGUCUUCUGUCGCUCCUUCCUUAGGCUUGAAAUCCCAGUUUCGUCUUGGUUUGUUUUCUUUCUCUCAUCCUGCUCCUCUACUUAGAAUGUGAAUCUCCCACAUCCUGUGGUUCAUUUUCU